AUUGAACGCUGGCGGCAUGCCUUACACAUGCAAGUCGAGCGGCAGCGGGAAAGUAGCUUGCUACUUUUGCCGGCGAGCGGCGGACGGGUGAGUAAUGCCUGGGAAAUUGCCCAGUCGAGGGGGAUAACAGUUGGAAACGACUGCUAAUACCGCAUACGCCCUACGGGGGAAAGCAGGGGACCUUCGGGCCUUGCGCGAUUGGAUAUGCCCAGGUGGGAUUAGCUAGUUGGUGAGGUAAUGGCUCACCAAGGCGACGAUCCCUAGCUGGUCUGAGAGGAUGAUCAGCCACACUGGAACUGAGACACGGUCCAGACGCCUACGGGAGGCAGCAGUGGGGAAUAUUGCACAAUGGGGGAAACCCUGAUGCAGCCAUGCCGCGUGUGUGAAGAAGGCCUUCGGGUUGUAAAGCACUUUCAGCGAGGAGGAAAGGUUGAUGCCUAAUACGUAUCAACUGUGACGUUACUCGCAGAAGAAGCACCGGCUAACUCCGUGCCAGCCGCCGCCGUAAGAC
rnacentral:rRNA from 1 species